AACCAAAUUCCCUCCUUCAUCCGUCUCUUCCCUCGUUUUUCUUUUCCUUUCUUCUCUUCGCUUCUUCGCUUCUUCCUCCUCCUCCUCCUCCAACUCCAAAUCAGAUCUCGCUCUCUCUUCCAUCCCUUUCUCUUUCCCUUUUCCUUUUCCUCUUCCCUCCAAUUCCCUUCGAUUCCCUCGGAUUCACCGAUUCAAUUCCUAUUCCGAUUAUUCUUGACCCCUAAAACCUCACCCGAAGAGGGCUCAAUCAAUCCCCGCCUCCUCCCCUCCAAUUGCUAGUUUCCGAGUUUAGUCGGUUCCGAUGUCGGCUUCUCGAGCUCCUAAUCAGCCGCCGGAGUCGAUCACGCGCCAGCAGCAGCAACAGCCGCCGCCGCCGCCGAAGCGCCAACUGCCUUUCUCGUCGAUGAAGCCGCCGCCAUUUGGGGACUACCAUCGAUUUUCGGGUCCGGUCCUUGAUCACAGGCUGAAGGAACCGGAGGGCAUCGUUGUCAAGUCUCCGCCACUGAAGCGGAAGAGUGAAACAGCCGAGUAUGAAGCUGAGCCUGCUGAACAUAACCCAAGUACUGCACAUGCCAACAAUUUUAGUAGUUCUCUUCGAACCCCUAUAUCAGGGAAAGGCGGAAAGGCACAUAAAGUGUCAAGGAUUGCAAAGUGUGGUAGAUCUGGAUCCCAAACUCCUGUGUCAAAUGUCGGUUCUCCCUCAGGCAAUAAUCUCACCCCAGUUGGUCCCUGUCGGUAUGAUAGUUCUCUAGGUUUAUUAACAAAAAAGUUCAUCAGUCUGAUCAAACAUGCUGAAGAUGGUAUCCUUGAUCUAAAUAGAGCUGCUGACACUUUAGGGGUGCAGAAGAGGCGGAUAUAUGAUAUCACAAAUGUGCUUGAAGGAAUUGGUCUCAUAGAAAAGAAGCUAAAGAAUAGAAUUCAGUGGAAGGGACUUGAUGUGUCAAAGCCAGGGGAGGUUGAUGACAAUGUUAACACCAUACAGGAAGAAGUUGAAAACCUUUCCAUUGAAGAGCAAAAAUUAGAUGAACAAAUAAGAGAAAUGCAGGAAAGAUUGAGGGAGCUGAGUGAAAAUGAAAAUAAUCAGAAAUGGCUAUUUGUCACUGAAGAUGACAUCAAAGGUUUACCCUGCUUCCAGAAUGAAACCCUAAUAGCAAUUAAAGCUCCACAUGGCACAACGCUAGAAGUCCCUGAUCCUGAUGAGGCAGCUGACUACCGUCAAAGGAGAUACAGGAUAGUGCUCAGGAGCACAAUGGGCCCCAUAGAUGUUUACCUUGUCAGUCAAUUUGAGGAGAAAUUCGAAGAGAUCAGUGGCAUGGAGGCAACCCCCAGCAUUCCAUCAACAUCAGGGUUAAAUGAAAACCCAACUGCACAAUUGGUAAUAGAAGAAGGUAGAGUAAAUGAGAUUGAAAUCCAGGGACAAGAAGCCAAUAGAAUAUGCUCAGAUAUAAAUGCUUCACAGGACUUUGUGAGCGGGAUCAUGAAGAUUGUUCCAGAAGUUGAUAGUGACGCAGAUUAUUGGCUUUUGUCAGACGCUGAUAUUAGCAUUACAGACAUGUGGACGGACCCUGGGGUGGGGUGGAAUGAGUUUGAUACUCUUCAUGAUGACCAUGCAAUGGCUACUGCCAGCAUGCCGCCUCCCCAAACUCCACCUUCAGGUACAACAGAAGUUCCAUCUACGGCUAAAAGUACAGGCAAAUGAGCAGAGUAUUAGGCGAUAAGCUUAACAUGGGCACUCAAGCUCUCAUUAUAAGUUGGAGACAUUAUGAUUAAUUGUUCAGGCCGGAGGUAGGGUUUGAGGCACUUGGGGAUUUACCCCCUCAAUGUUCCUUGAAAGAAAUUCUUGCGCAUGGUGGGCUCGAGAUGGGAGUAGGCUGGUGGCUCACUGUACAGGAUACUAGUAGAAGUACAAGUUUUUAGGCUACGGAGAUGAUCCUCCACAGUUAUAUUGCUGCAAAAACAAGAAGAAACGAAAGUUGGGAAUGCAGUUUUGGGUUGCUCUAUCUCUAUCUAUCCUCUGGGGAAUUCUAAUAUAUGACAGAGCAACCUCUCAGCAUGUAUCAUGUUAAGGUUAACUUUUGUGUCUCAUUAGAAUUUGGCUUCUUUGUCGAUUUUUGCUUGGCAUUAUAAGUUCAUCAUCAUUACUUAGGCUUUUGACUCUUAUUAUUAUAAUAUUCAUUAUAGUUAACCUUAUUAAUUUUGGCAUCUUCCCUUUUUGAGUAUUCCCUGACCAUUAUUGUUAAUUACAGUUGUUUCUUUAGUUGUUAUGCAAGUAUAUCAAUUAGUAGUCUAAAAACGUAUUUUACUUGCAAUGGUCUUACUCAAAUUUGCAGAUUAAUCGAUGACACCUUACCUUUCUUUUUUUGUUUAUUUUCAUUUCGGCCUAUCCCAGGAAAGCAUGCAUGGUGAGGAUAUUAAAGUUGCUUUUAUGGUUUGUUGUGGUUAUUAUGAGUUGUUAGAUGUGAAACCACAAAUCCAACCAGCUGCAUGCAUAUCGACUCAUUGCCUAACUCUUUUGUGAUUCGAUUAGUUCACCACUCACUAGCUAUAUAUUUUAUAGUGUGUUCAAUUCUCCUUCCUCACUUUAAAUAUAUUUUAAAUUAAUUUUUAAAAUUUCUUCCCUCAUAAUUCACAAUUAUAAAAUGUUAUCACCACAUAUUUGUAUUGUCUUGAUGGAGUCGUGUAUGCAGCACACACACACGUAAAUGUAUAUGCAUAUGUAUAAUGUGUUGUAGGGAAGUUUAUUUUUGUUCAUUUAAAUAUAUUUUAAAUUAAGUUUUAGAGUUUCUUCCCUCAUAAUUCACAAUUAUAAAAUGUUGUCACCACAUAUUCAUAUUGUCUUGAUGGAGUCGUGUAUGCACACACAUGCACACGUAAAUGUAUAUGCAUAUGUAUAAUGUUGUAGGGAUGUUUAUUUUUGCUCAUUUACAAGUUAAAAAAAUAGUAAAUUGUUGGCUGGUAUAUUAUUCUUUAAUAGGUGCAUAUUUAAAGAAUAAUAAUUUUGUAUUUUUAUCAAUAAAAGAAUGAAGAAAAUGACAGAACAGUGGGAUAAAAAAAAAAAUGAUAAAAUGGGAUUGUCUUUGAAAAGAUUAUGUUACCAUUUAAGGUUCAUCUAGAAAAAAAAAAAAGUAACAAAUUAAGGUAAAAAUGCCAAACAGAAAAUAACAAUCAUGGAUUCUACAUUAUUUUUAUAAUAAUGUAUUUAAGUAAGUUUUUUCAUAAAAUAACAUUCCUCUAAAAACCCAUCUCAAACUUACGUUUCCCAAGUAUACAUGAUGUACAUACCAAAAUAUGUAUAUAUAUAUAUAUAUAACUAAUGUCAAGCAGGCGUAAUUAAUUAUUCUACAAAAAAUUCAAUCCAACUUUGAUAUAAUCAAAUUAAUUAUUUGAUAUUAUAUCAUGUGGUUCCAAUUUAAAUUAAUUAAUUUAACGUCUUAAAUAAAUAAAAUAUAAUUACCUAACAAAAAAACACAAUUACUAAGUAAGAAUGAAGUGUUGAUUCAGAUGAAGAUUUAGCUCUAACAAACCAUAUAUGAACGAGCUUUGAAUUUCAAUCAGCUCAAUUAAUUAAAGAUUAUAUAUUAGAUGUUUUAAUUAGUAAUUGAAUUAAAUUAAUUUCAGUGUUAAAAGUCCUAAGGAUGUUAAUGGGGAAAUUAAAUAUUCAGAGUUGAUUUUUAAAAACGGAGCCUAGAAAUAGAAUGGAGGAAGAAAUUCUUUUAUAAUACAAUUUUCCACUUAAAUUUUUAUUUGAUAAUAUAAUUUUCCAAGCAUAUGUGUAUAGAAGAGCCCAUGCCCUACCACCUUAAAAGAGUCAACUACCUCUUAAAAUACUUCCUAUACUGUACGCCAUUUACAGCCAGAUCUGAUUAGGAUUUCCAACACCGCCCCCCCCCCCCCCCCCCCCCCCCCCCUCC